rnacentral:misc_RNA from 1 species
UCUCCGUUGGUGAACCAGCGGAGGGAUCAUUACCGAGUUUACAACUCCCUAACCCCUGUGAACAUACCAUUUGUUGCCUCGGCGGUGCCUGCUUCGGCAGCCCGCCAGAGGACCCAAACCCUUGAUUUUAUACAGUAUCUUCUGAGUAAAUGAUUAAAUAAAUCAAAACUUUCAACAACGGAUCUCUUGGUUCUG